AAGACUAUAGACCUGCGGAGUACCUGCGGAGGGAUCAUUACUGGGUUUUUGGGCUCUGCCCGCCACCCGCCCUCUGUUAUUUGUGACUAUUGUUUCGGCCAGUGGGGGCGACCCCCGGCCGGCAGUAACUCUGAAGAAUCUUGAAGUCUGAUACUCUGUUAAUAAAAAAAAACUUUUAACAACGGAUCUCU
rnacentral:misc_RNA from 1 species